rnacentral:tRNA from 1 species
GCCCGAGUGGCGGAAUGGCAGACGCGGAGGUCUCAAAAACCUCUCUCUUCGGGGGUGUGAGUUCGAAUCUCACCUCGGGCACCA